UUUGUGGUUUUGAUUUUAGUAUCAGAUACACAACCCAAAAGUUCUCAGGAUAGUGUUUUUGAAAUGCAGCGUGAAACAUAUACUACUAAACUUUUUAGUUUAAAAAAAGAACUUGACACUUUGCAAAUACAAUAUGAUAAAUUUAAGUUAGAUAAUGCUGAUGGUCGUCAUAAUAAUGAUUUGAAAAUGAAUAGAAAAUUGCAGGUAUUAUUUGUUAUUUAUUUGUCAUUCUUGAAGUAUGAAAUGUAUUUAUAUUGAAUAAAUUUAUAAAUACAUGAUACAUUCUACCUAAUUUAUUUAUUGAAGGAUGAUGUAAAUGGGAAAAUCAAAGGCGUAACUAAUAUUCUUGAAGUAUUGAACACAAUGAUUCCUAAAGACUCUUUAAAAGAAGUUAAAAAAAUUGAACCUAAAAAAAUAGUAAUUUUGAAAAAUAUAUUAUAUUUGAUUUAAUUUAUAUAUAAUUAUUAUAAAUAAUUUUAGACAGCGGAACCUGAAUAUCUAAAAACUCCAACUGAAACAUUACAACAAAAAGAAAUUCUACCCAUACAUAAACAUCGCCGCCAUAGUACAUCUUCUUCGUCUUCAAGAGAAUUUAAAAAAAAACGUAAAUCUAUCAAAUCAAAAAAAAUAUUAAGAGUACAAUCUUCUUCAGAAGAAGAAACUGAUUCUAAAAAAUUAUAUAAAUCUAAGGAAUUGAUUGACACCAAUAAAAACAAAUUUCGUAAUGAAAAACUUCCUCAAUUUAAGUAUAUUUAUUGUGAUUCGUGUAUUCAUUGGUGUCAGCCUUGUAAUAUCUUUCCAAAAACUGCAAAAGACUAUUUAACACAUUUACAUAGUAAAUCUCAUAAAACAACUAUUGAGGUUAGUAACUUUUGUCUAUUGAACUCAUAAAAAAAAUGAUAUUUUUUUUUAUAAAUUAAUUUAAAACUUUAUGUUGCUAUAUAUAGGAGUUAAAUGUUGUUGAAUUACCCUGGCAUGAUUCUCAAACAAAUAUUGAACAGCCUCAAACAAAUUCUGAUUUAGAAAUUAAACGAGUACCUAUAAAAGGUAAUUUUAAAUUUUAUUAUUGAUUAAUUUUAGUGAAUUAUAGAUUUUGAUAUAUAAUAAUUAUAAAAUACAUGUUAUUACUAAUACAAAAUUAUCACAUAGGGCUAAUUAAUUUAAAUCUUAAGAAAAAUUUUAAUGGACAAGUGAUAGAUGUAACUCUAAUAUACAUUUAAGGUUUGGAGCGUAUACUGUAUUGGUUAACUAUGAUACAAACUUUUCUACCAGAAAUCUUUUCAGAAAGACAAUUUUAUCUAUUAGUUACUUUAGGGAGGUUAUUUUUCGAUUUUCCAAGCAGUUUUCAAAAUAAUUUAGCAAAACCAAAAAAUACAUAGAAAGAACAAAAAAAAUACUUUUAUAAUUUUCA